AUAUCAAUAAGCGGAGGAAAAGAAACUAACAAGGAUUCCCCUAGUAACUGCGAGUGAAGCGGGAAAAGCUCAAAUUUAAAAUCUGAUGGCCUUCAGCCAUCCGAGUUGUAAUUUAGAGAAGCGUCUUCCGCGCCGGACCGUGCACAAGUCUCCUGGAAUGGAGCGUCAUAGAGGGUGAGAAUCCCGUCUUUGGCACGAGUUCCCGGUGCUUCUGUGAUGCGCUCUCGACGAGUCGAGUUGUUUGGGAAUGCAGCUCAAAAUGGGUGGUGAACUCCAUCUAAAGCUAAAUAUUGGCGAGAGACCGAUAGCGCACAGUA
rnacentral:rRNA from 1 species